AGCAGUCGCCACGGUAAUACGUAGGUGGCAAGCGUUGUCCGGAAUUAUUGGGCGUAAAGGGCUCGCAGGUGGUUGCUUAAGUCUGAUGUGAAAGCCCCCGGCUCAACCGGGGAGGGUCAUUGGAAACUGGGAAACUUGAGUGCAGAAGAGGAGAGUGGAAUUCCACGUGUAGCGGUGAAAUGCGUAGAAAUGCGGAGGAACACCAGUGGCGAAGGCGACUCUCUGGUCUGUAACUGACGCUGAGGAGCGAAAGCGUGGGGAGCGAACAGGAUUAGAUACCCCCGUAGUCCCUGUCUCUUAUAC
rnacentral:rRNA from 1 species